UCUGGAGUGCUCACCUACACUAGGCUUGGGGACCAUGUUGGUGCCAUUUCCCCAGACUGGGUACUGACCUCUUCACAGUUCCCGUGGCGCCUGAAGGACUGGAGAGUUUAUGUUCCCAUGUCUCCUCUGGGUGUUGGCCAGAGCUGUGAUCACCAUGACGGGAAUCCUCCUUAUUUGCUCCUUAAGCAAAUAAUCCUUGUGUUUUUGAUUAUGCCCUUAAUCUUUGUCCUGAACUGCUGAUCUUCAGAGGGACCCAGGAGAAGAUGAGUCCACCGUUUCUACUGGGGAAAAAAAAACAAAACAACAACAACAAAAAAAAAACACAUCAAACUGUGGGACACUGGAUGGGUGGAUGGGCUAGGCCUGAAAAGAGAUUGCCAAAUACAAGUCCCUUCCAGAUGAAAAGUGGAUCCUUUAGGAAAAGGAGCUGUCAUCUUCAAAGUCAUCUCAUGAUCCGAAAAUGGCUGUUGCAGCUCCAGCCAACAGAGACACCCUGAAGGCCAGAAGAAGGAAGAAAGGCAAAGAUUCAUUAUCUUGAAUUUUUCAAUCUUCCGCUUUUCUUUAUAAUUUUAUUACCUGUAAGUAUACUCCUAAAAACCUUAUUUGGCCCACAGAGUAGGAGAAAAUCUUUGCAAUGAAGCAACCGACAAGGGAUUAAUCUCCAAAAUAUACAACAUCUCGCACAGCUUUAUAUGAAAGAUCCAAUCAAAAACUUUUCAGAAGAUCCCAAUGGACAUUUCUCCAAAAAAGACAGAUAGAUGGCUAAAAAGCACAUGAAAAGAUGCUCAAAUCACUAAUUAUUUAAAGAACUGCAAAUCAAAACUACAGUGCACUCCACAGAAAGUCUACAAACAAACGCCAGAGAAGUUGUGAAGAAAAGGGAACACUCCUACAAUGUUGGUGGGAAUAUAAAUUGGUGCAGCUACUAUGGAAAACAAUAUGGACGUUCCUUUAAAAACUAAACAUGGAACUACCGUAUGAUUCAGCAAUCCCACUCCUAGGCACAUAUCUGGAGAAAAUCAUAAAUUGAAAAGAUAUGUGCACCCCAGUAUUCAUUGCAGCACUAUUUACAAUAGCCAAGACAUGGAAGCAGUCUAAAUGUCCAUAAACAGAGGAAUGGAUAAAGAAGAUGUGGUACAUAUGGAAUAUAUAUGGAAUAAUGGAAUAUAACCCAGCCACAAAAAAGAAUGAAAUAAUGUCAUUUGCAGUAACAUGGAUGGACCCAAAAACUGUCAUACUAAGUGAAGUCAGAUAGAGAAAGACAGAUGUUAUAUGAGGUUACUAAUAUAUGGAAACUAGUAAAAAUUGUAUAAAAGAACUCAUGCACAAAACAAAAACAUACUCAAAGAUUUCAAAACCAAACUUAUGAUUACCAAAUGGGGAAUGUUGGGGGGAAGGAUAAAUUGGGAGGUUGAAACUGACAUAUAAACACUACUGUAUAUGGAAUGGAUGCGUAACAAGGACCUACUGUAUCACACAGGGAAAUCUACUCAAUACUCUGUAGUGACUUAUAUGGGAAAAGAAUCUGAAAAGGAAUGGAUAUAUGUAUACAUAUAACUGAUUCACUUUGUUCUAUAUCUGAAACUAAUGCAACAUUGUGAGUCAACUAUACUCCAAUAAAAUUUUUUACAAAAGUAA
rnacentral:lncRNA from 1 species